rnacentral:misc_RNA from 1 species
CCCGAUUUGGUCGAUCAGAUUCAGAAGAACCCAUUGAUCGUGUGGCCAUCAGACACUGACACUGUCACAGUAAGUACACAUCUUGAGAUCCACCGAGACGCAAGAUCGAAAAAAAAGGAAUAUGCAUCGCUUUCAAAUCCACAAUCACAAACACAGAUGAUUAGUAGGUUAAUUAAUUCUCGCAGCACCUCCAAAAUCAGUAACAGAUCUACGUACACGCCCUACCACACAAGCUCGCCACCGGCGAUCAACGCCGACGCCGCCACCACCGUCCGUGCACUUGCAGUAAGAUUAUUGCGAUCAGUAACGGCUCCAAGCGCUACAAGGUCAGUUGUUUUUUCCCCCUCAGGGCACAGCGGCGCCGCUGCUGCUCGCGGCGGCGCCGGGCGCCGCCGCCGCCGCCGUUCGCUCGAGCACCAUGGCGGCGUCCCUCAUGGAGGGCCGCUUGCCGGGCGCCAUGGCGCAGCACGCGAAGGCGAGCCUGAAGCACGCCAGCAGCGCGUCCUCCCGGCCGUCGGCCUCGCCGCGGAGCGUGGGGUCGGCCAUCCGGAGCACGCGGCCGUGCUCCUCGGCGGCCACCAGCCCCGCGUGCCACUGGCACAGCUCCACCUCCGAGUAGACCCGCCCGGAGAGCAGCUCCAGGAGCACCAUGCCGAAGGCGUACACGUCCCACUUGGCCGUGGGCCGCAGGUUCUUCAGGCACUCGGGCGCCUGGUACGGCGCCGGGGCGGCGCUGGCGGCCGCGGCCGCCGCGGACGCCGACCCGCACGGGCUCGCGCCCGGCCCGGGCAUCUGUGACAGGUCCGGCAGGCUGCUCGUCGAGUGCAUCGACCGCUUGCUCCCGAACAGCCGCGCCGACGCGCCCGCGCGGUAGUGCGGCGCCGCCUCGCCCGACGCCAGCCGGUCCAGGCCCAGGUCCCCGAUCCAUGGCUCCAUGUCGCCGCCCAGAAGGAUGUUGCUCGGCUUCAGGUUCCCGUGCACGCCCUUCUUCUCGUGGAUGUACGCCAGCCCUCGCGCCACGCCGCGCGCGAUCCGCAGCCGCGCCUCCAGGCUCAGGUGCAGCGGCGACGACGACCCGAAGCGCCCUGCAGAGGAGGUGCGGCAAAAUCAUCCGGUCAUUACGAUUACGUGUGAGGAACAUAAAGUUACGGGCUCAGGAUCUAGAAAGUGACGAAUUCCUACUAUUACUACUAUUACAACGACUCAACCGAUUACGUGUUUAUGUUGAUUUUGGAUGGUUUUUGUCCCAACGGAUUUUAUAGAAGCUGGCUGAAAAGCUGAGCGUUUAGCAGUCCACGGCAGCUUUUGGUGGCCAGAAGCUGCCAGAAGCCGAAACAAACAGGGCCAUAUGACCAAAUCAGGUGAAGUGAGCCUCGUGAUCGUAAAAAUGGAACGCCAAGGCGUUAGGCGUUGUGGAGUUGUACUGAUUUUGCGACUGAUGAAGCAAAGCAACCAAAGGACAGUUCUUUCAGUACCAAAGGGACGAGUCCUUAAGACUUGCAGCAAAAUUG